CGAAUGCUGACAUAAGUAACGAUAAAGCGGGUGAAAAGCCCGCUCGCCGGAAGACCAAGGGUUCCUGUCCAACGUUAAUCGGGGCAGGGUGAGUCGACCCCUAAGGCGAGGCCGAAAGGCGUAGUCGAUGGGAAACAGGUUAAUAUUCCUGUACUUGGUGUUACUGCGAAGGGGGGACGGAGAAGGCUAUGUUGGCCGGGCGACGGUUGUCCCGGUUUAAGCGUGUAGGCUGGUUUUCCAGGCAAAUCCGGAAAAUCAAGGCUGAGGCGUGAUGACGAGGCACUACGGUGCUGAAGCAACAAAUGCCCUGCUUCCAGGAAAAGCCUCUAAGCAUCAGGUAACAUCAAAUCGUACCCCAAACCGACACAGGUGGUCAGGUAGAGAAUACCAAGGCGCUUGAGAGAACUCGGGUGAAGGAACUAGGCAAAAUGGUGCCGUAACUUCGGGAGAAGGCACGCUGAUAUGUAGGUGAGGUCCCUCGCGGAUGGAGCUGAAAUCAGUCGAAGAUACCAGCUGGCUGCAACUGUUUAUUAAAAACACAGCACUGUGCAAACACGAAAGUGGACGUAUACGGUGUGACGCCUGCCCGGUGCCGGAAGGUUAAUUGAUGGGGUCAGCGCAAGCGAAGCUCUUGAUCGAAGCCCCGGUAAACGGCGGCCGUAACUAUAACGGUCCUAAGGUAGCGAAAUUCCUUGUCGGGUAAGUUCCGACCUGCACGAAUGGCGUAAUGAUGGCCAGGCUGUCUCCACCCGAGACUCAGUGAAAUUGAACUCGCUGUGAAGAUGCAGUGUACCCGCGGCAAGACGGAAAGACCCCGUGAACCUUUACUAUAGCUUGACACUGAACAUUGAGCCUUGAUGUGUAGGAUAGGUGGGAGGCUUAGAAGUGUGGACGCCAGUCUGCAUGGAGCCGACCUUGAAAUACCACCCUUUAAUGUUUGAUGUUCUAACGUUGACCCGUAAUCCGGGUUGCGGACAGUGUCUGGUGGGUAGUUUGACUGGGGCGGUCUCCUCCUAAAGAGUAACGGAGGAGCACGAAGGUUGGCUAAUCCUGGUCGGACAUCAGGAGGUUAGUGCAAUGGCAUAAGCCAGCUUGACUGCGAGCGUGACGGCGCGAGCAGGUGCGAAAGCAGGUCAUAGUGAUCCGGUGGUUCUGAAUGGAAGGGCCAUCGCUCAACGGAUAAAAGGUACUCCGGGGAUAACAGGCUGAUACCGCCCAAGAGUUCAUAUCGACGGCGGUGUUUGGCACCUCGAUGUCGGCUCAUCACAUCCUGGGGCUGAAGUAGGUCCCAAGGGUAUGGCUGUUCGCCAUUUAAAGUGGUACGCGAGCUGGGUUUAGAACGUCGUGAGACAGUUCGGUCCCUAUCUGCCGUGGGCGCUGGAGAACUGAGGGGGGCUGCUCCUAGUACGAGAGGACCGGAGUGGACGCAUCACUGGUGUUCGGGUUGUCAUGCCAAUGGCACUGCCCGGUAGCUAAAUGCGGAAGAGAUAAGUGCUGAAAGCAUCUAAGCACGAAACUUGCC
rnacentral:rRNA from 1 species